AGGGCACCACCAGGAGUGGAGCCUGCGGCUUAAUUUGACUCAACACGGGAAAACUCACCCGGCCCGGACACUGGAAGGAUUGACAGAUUGAGAGCUCUUUCUUGAUUCAGUGGGUGGUGGUGCAUGGCCGUUCUUAGUUGGUGGAGUGAUUUGUCUGGUUAAUUCCGAUAACGAACGAGACUCUAGCCUACUAAAUAGAUCGUCGGCUUACAAACGCCGGCGAGACUUCUUAGAGGGACAGGCGGUGAUUCAACCGCACGAAACGGAGCAAUAACAGGUCUGUGAUGCCCUUAGAUGUCCGGGGCCGCACGCGCGCUACACUGAAGUGAUCAGCGUGCUUUUUCAACCUACUCUGUCAAGAGUGGGGAACCCAAUGAACCUUCUUCGUGAUUGGGAUAGGGGAUUGUAAUUAUUCCCCUUGAACGAGGAAUUCCCAGUAAGCGCGAGUCAUAAGCUCGCGUUGAUUACGUCCCUGCCCUUUGUACACACCGCCCGUCGCUACUACCGAUUGAAUGUUUU
rnacentral:rRNA from 1 species